UUUUUUCUUUUUUUUUUUUUUGAGGCGGUGUCUUGCUCUGUCGCCCAGGCUGGAGUGCAAUGGCGCUAUCACAGCUCACUGCAAGCUCUGCCUCCCGGGUUCAUGCCAUUCCCCUGCCUCAGCCUCCUGAGGAGCUGAGACUAUAGGCGCCUGCCACCACACCUGGCUAAUUUUUUGUAUUUUUAGUAGAGACAGGGUUUUACCGUGUUAGCCAGGAUGGUCUUGAUCUCCUGACCUUGUGAUCCACCCGUCUCGGCCUCCCAAAGUGCUGGGAUUACAGGUGUAAGCCACCACACCCAAUCUCUGAUUUCUAAAUACUCAGUUGGAAGUACACUCACAACUAGUGGUGAGAAAGCACAGUUGCUCUAUUGCUCAAUGCCAGGGGACUGCAGUGGCCAAAUGCGUGUUAGUUGAUUUUUGUUUUUCAUGGUCCAGCCUAACAUUAGCUUAGCUAACUGCAAAGCAUCACAUGACACCUUAUCCUACAAAGUUUGCCCAGUCAGCAAUGAAGUUGCUCAGAGAUAUUCCUACCCAGUGGUAUUUCUUGACCAUUGGAAACUUUUCUGAGGGCAAAUCAACUCCAGCUGAGUGCAACUUAAACUCUCCGCAUGAUGUUUACUGGGUGUCCCCUGGUGGGGUAGAGACCUUGGAACCUCAGAGCCUUUCCAGAUAUGUGGGGCUAAGUGAGCUUACUGGGUGCCUUGUUCUUCACCUGCUCCUUUGCAGGCACUGUUUUGUGGGUACCUGUAAUUUUUUUUUUACUAUGUCAGAAGGAUGAGGGGCAAGUGGAUAGGGAAAAUGACAAAGUUGGGGAAACAAGUGAUGGACUAUAGGUAUAGAUUUUUAAAAAAGAUCAGACAAACAUGAUUUUAACUGGUAGUUAAAUUAAAGAAUGUUUUCCUGGAGGGUCACCCUUAGAAAUUAGAAAAGCCACAGUUGGUAAUCUCCUAAGGUACCAGGGAGUCUGUUGAGAGGUUCCUAAGAGUCACGUGGAAUAUCUGAACACCUUAGGACCCAAUAAUACGCUGUUUCACUAAAAAUCAGUGAAACGAACCAACAUGGAAAUGCUCCCCUUGGUGGAGCGGACAUUUGAAAGUCCCUCCAAAGCCUCUGCUAGCCUCUCCUAUUUGGUACUCACUGACUUAAAAAUUGUUCAGGCAGUGCUGUGCUGGAGCCAGCUCAAGCUGUAUUGGAGCCAACUUAUACUGGCUCUUGAAAACAUAUUGUUGUGUUUUCAGCUGGUUGACAUUAAGUUAGUAGCUUGAAAUUGGCUGGGAUGAGAGUAUUUACACCAUGGAAAUUGGUAGGUGCUAAAAAUCUGGGUUCCACUGUUUUCCAGAGCCAGUUGUUAAACAUUUGGCAGCACACCAAAGAGCUAAAACUGUCUGAGAAUCACACAGAAGGAAAAUCAAAGGAACUCUUUGGUAUCACUGUUGUGUAAAGCCUUUCUAUGUGCACAGCUAUAGAAAGAAGUCUGGCCAAAGCUUCAUUAGGAUGGUGGCACAUUAUCCAACAGAGGUGGUACAAGGCUGCAAGUGAUAACUGAUCACCCUUGUUAUACUGGGUUGGUCUUAGAACUGGAGCCUCUUGAAUUUCCUUUUUUGAUUGGUUUCAUUUUAGCCUGAAUACCUUCGUGUUCUGGAUACUACUUGAGGUUGAUAAAUCAGACCCCUUAGAUAAAUAUUUUAGGCUCUGGGAAUGACUUCCAAAUUGAAUCUGAAUGUAUCAUUUAAGUUCCCUGUUUCUCAUUCUCACCAGUUCUAAAGAUGAGUGACCUGAGAUCUGUCUCUUAGUUUGAAAUAUAAAGAGGGAAAUAUGAAGAGCUGGCCUUGAGAUAAACUGUAUAUUAAAGCUAUGCUUUCCACCUUGUCUUUGGGCUUGCAUCCAUUCUGACUAAAUUGAUCAGUUACUAUUUGCUUAUAAAUUAGCAACUGGUCAAUUCAGCUGAAACAGCUGAAUUGUUGAGUCACUAAGACUGUGUCUAUAUUGCCAUUUACCAUGAUAACCUCAAGGAAUAUGUGAAACCAAUCACACAAGGACAGAUAAGCUUUAGCUACUUGGUUCAAAAUGGUAUAUAUGACUCCCAAUGUAUAUAUUAUUGGUUUCCAAAUGCUGGCCACAUGAAUCACCUGGGAAUCUUUGUAAGUUGGACUUAUCCCAGGACAUUAUGAAUCAAAGGUCCAGAGUGAGUGGCAAGAAUUGUAUUUUGAAGAG
ensembl:lncRNA